AUUGAACGCUGGCGGCAUGCUUUACACAUGCAAGUCGAACGGCAGCACGGGAGCAAUCCUGGUGGUGAGUGGCGAACGGGUGAGUAAUAUAUCGGAACGUGCCCAGUCGUGGGGGAUAACGUAGCGAAAGCUACGCUAAUACCGCAUACGAUCUAUGGAUGAAAGCGGGGGAUCGCAAGACCUCGCGCGAUUGGAGCGGCCGAUAUCAGAUUAGGUAGUUGGUGGGGUAAAAGCCUACCAAGCCUUCGAUCUGUAGCUGGUCUGAGAGGACGACCCGCCACACUGGAACUGAGACACGGUCCAGACUCCUACGGGAGGCAGCAGUGGGGGAAUUUUGGACAAUGGGGGCAACCCUGAUCCAGCCAUUCCGCGUGAGUGAAGAAGGCCUCGGUUGUAAGACUCUUUCUAGCAGGAACGAAACGGUAGGUCCCGUAACUACGGACGUACUAAUGACGGUACCUCGAAGAAGAAGACACCGGCUAACUACGUAGCCAGCAGCCGCGGUAA
rnacentral:rRNA from 1 species